rnacentral:rRNA from 1 species
AUUGAACGCUGGCGGCAUGCCUUACACAUGCAAGUCGAACGGUAACAGGUCUUCGGAUGCUGACGAGUGGCGAACGGGUGAGUAAUACAUCGGAACGUGCCUAGUAGUGGGGGAUAACUACUCGAAAGAGUGGCUAAUACCGCAUGAGAUCUACGGAUGAAAGCAGGGGAUCGCAAGACCUUGUGCUACUAGAGCGGCCGAUGGCAGAUUAGGUAGUUGGUGGGAUAAAAGCUUACCAAGCCGACGAUCUGUAGCUGGUCUGAGAGGACGAUCAGCCACACUGGGACUGAGAAACGGCCCAGACUCCUACGGGAGGCAGAAGUGGGGAAUUGUGGACAAUGGGCGCAAGCCUGAUCCAGUAAUGCCGCGUGCAGGAUGAAGGCCUUCGGGUUGUAAACUGCUUUUGUACGGAACGAAAAGCCCCGGGUUAAUACCCUGGGGUCAUGACGGUACCGUAAGAAUAAGCACCGGCUAACUACGUGCCAGCAGCCGCAGUAA